rnacentral:RNase_P_RNA from 2 species
GCUGGUCAGUAGGCAGUCGCUCUUUGUCGCAAGACAGGGGGAGGAAAGUCCGAACACUGUCGUCAUACCUUUCGAGGUGUGGCGGUAAAAUGGUAGCGUACUGCAGUGCAAGGCCGUGUCUGCACACCAAUCAUGGCAUUGUGUCUAAGUUUUUUGUAAAUUUGAAACUAGAUUCAAUACUAAACAAUCUAAAAUUCAAUUGGUUUUUAAAAAUUGAUUUUAGACACAAAAAACGAUGCCAUAAUUGGUGUGCAGAAGUGCCGCUAGAACCAAGUAGUAAUAUUUGGUCCAGAUAAAUGAUUGUCUAAGACAGAAUUCGGCUUAUCGCUGGCCAGCUAAA